CCCAAAAAGAACCCAAACCAGGAGAUAUAAUUCCAAAAAUAAAACAGAAUAGCUCAGUCCAGUUUUUCCCCUUUGAAAGUCUAAGACAAGAUGGUUUGUUAUCCCUUAGCACUUUAAUUUGGCAUUGCUAUUGCUAGUAAUGGGCUGUGAGCUUUGCACCAAGUUUGAAAAACAUCUGGAUUGAGGCUUGUUAGGUUUGCUCUGACUGAGCUUGUUUUGACUUGCCUGAGGCUUUUUUUUUUUAACUUGGCUGAGUGGUAAGAGCCAUUUUUUUGAUUGACCAAGUGGCUACAGAUAAUUUGUUUUACUUUUGUGUAUCUUUGUAUAGUGCAGCUGUCAGUUUAUAUAGACAGCAGUAACAAGCUUUUAUUCUGUGUAGGAUGAGUUAUUUAUGGCUCUGACCCAAGGACACAGUGUAGAGAAAUGUAGGCUUGGUACAACAGCAAAGGUCUUGAGAAGUGGACAUGUGGGAUGUGCUGCAGAGGAGCGCAGGCAUGGGGUGAUGAGAUGAGGUCUGGGCUGGAACUGGAGACCCCUUGGCUAUAAACCACUCACUGAAGGAAUGCAGACCUGGAGCCGGACUAGGCAGGUUUUAGGGGUAGCAAACAGUACAAAAGUAGUACCCAACAUAAGUAAAAAGCACUACAUAUAGUAAAUUUAGACAUCACACAGCUGCAGAACAAUUAAAAAAGCAUGUUUGAAAAAAAAGUUACUAAUCAUAAUCGGAAUGUCUCUGAGUGGAUCCUGGGGAGAAGAAGAGGGAACCAUCAACAUGAACAUCUUAUUUUGCCUGGCUCAGGGCUCCAGAUGCUGAGGACUCACUGUAGUGCCACCAGUGUGAAACACCCAAGAAUGGGAAGGGUGAGCAUAACACCAAGAAAAGGGGUAGAAGCCACUAAGUGUGUGCAAUAAUUUUAAUAAUAUCAUUCUACAUAGGAUUAUUCUUUGUUUUCCUAUAGUAGUUAAAUCCAGACCAACAACCAUUCUUGGAUAAAAGCCUGUUAAGAUUUCAAGUAUAGUAAUAAUUUACAUACACGUACAUGAUGUGCUUUCUCUUUGCUCAUAAGAUGAGAUACUGAGGCUGUAGCAGUGGUGUGGCAUCUUUCUCCUGGUCUUUCUCUGGUUCUUUUGUGCUCCCCUGAUCUUGCUGGUGCCACUCUAAGCUUAGACUUGUGGUAACAGGGCUGGUAAAGCUGCACUUGUCCCAAGUCAUGGGAAGGAAAUCUACAUAGUCCCAGGGGGAACAAGCUUUCCUAGUGCUAACCCAAGGCUCCAGGUUUGACUCUGAUCGAGCAACGAAAUGUGGGUUCUGGUCCUCAAAAAGUAGCUCCUCCUUGCUGGACCCAGCACAUAUAUCCCCUUUUUUCUAGGAGCAGUGCACGGUGUGCAAAUCCAAGAGCCUCCACCCCCCUUCUAGUGGCUUUGCUUCCCCCUUGGCUGGUAACAGUUUCCUACCCACCUUUUAUCUCCUGCUUGCUUUCAAAGAGGAACUACUGCUAUUGGUAGCAGCUGCUUUCCUUCUGGCUUAUUCUGAAAUAUUCAGUAAUGUGCUCGGGCAAAGGCAGUGCACAAAACUUGGACAGCAGGUGUGGGUGCUGAGCUCCUGCAAGGCUCUGUAAGCAGGUGUCAGGCUUCUGGUCUGUGCGUGCUGUGCAAUGAGUGGGCUGAUGUCCUUGGUCACCCUCCCAGCUAGGACUCCACGGAGGGUUGGGAGCUGCUUCUCCUGAAGACUGUGCAGGCAGAGAAGAGCAAAUGAAGAUAAGGGCUCUCCUCAUGGCGUGUCUGUCUGUCCUCUGCAUGGACAUUGCCAACUUGCUGACAUACUACACCUGCACCAACCAGAGCAGCAAUGGUCGGUGCCUGAUGACUUCCCUGUGUACCAAAAAUGAGACAGCCUGCUUGACUAUGGUUGAUAAGAUAGGUGCUGGCACUCAGCAACAGAAGUUGACAGCAAAACCUGCAUUUCAGCUUGCAGUAUGUUUUGAGACCCUUAAAAAUGCUGCAGUCAGGACAACAGCAAUCACGAGGCAUCUGGGGUGAGACCUCCCACAGCGCUGCUGGGAACUGUGAUUCUGGUCAGUGUUAGCAGGCCUUUUCUCUGGACUGGACUGUGAUGAAGUUCCUGUUGAAUAACCCGUACAAGCCGCUUAACCCAUCCUGGUUCCUGAGCACCUGCAGUCAUUUUGUCCAUCUGUCCCCAGGACAUCUUCUGAACAUCUGAUGUUCAGCCAUGGAAAGACCGGUCUGAAGCUAGCUUGAGCUUGAUGGAGAAGAGAUCCAUCAGUUAUUCUUUUAUAGCUUUUCAUGCAACAGUGCUUUGCAGCUACCAUUAAAAAAAAAAAAAGACAUUUCCAAGAUGCUUA